UACGUAGGGGGCUAGCGUUGUCCGGAUUUAUUGGGCGUAAAGAGCGUGUAGGCGGCUUGGUAGGUCCGCUGUGAAAACUCGAGGCUCAACCUCGAGAUGUCGGCGGAAACCACUUGGCUAGAGUCCGGAAGAGGAGAGUGGAAUUCCUGGUGUAGCGGUGAAAUGCGCAGAUAUCAGGAAGAACACCCGUGGCGAAGGCGGCUCUCUGGGACGGUACUGACGCUGAGACGCGAAAGCGUGGGGAGCGAACAGG
rnacentral:rRNA from 1 species